rnacentral:lncRNA from 1 species
AAAUCCUGGGUGGGGACAGGGAGCACCCCAAAUCCUGGGUGGGGACAGGGAGCAUCCCAAAUCCUGAGAUGGGGACAUGUGGUGACUGCAGGCACACUGGCCAUUCCCACAGGACCCCCCAGGCGGAUGUGGGUCCCCCCCAGCAGGGCGUUUGCAGCCGCUGUCCCCGGUGUGUGGCCCAGAGCCCCGUCCAGCCCUGCCCUGCUGUCACUCCCGUCGCCCACGGGGCAGCGGCCGUGCCGGAGCGCGGCCCCGCGCAGGCACACCGGGGAUCCCCGGGGCUCACCCGUGCGUCCCGCUGUCCGUCUGUCCCCAGGGCUCGGCUACCCCCUGUUCCCCGCCGCCAGCCUGGGCCGCGCCCUGGCCACCAAGACGCCGCCGCCACUGUUCCUGGGGACCGAGGGCCGGCGCGGGGACAGCCAGGGCGGCCUGGCCGGCGGCCGGAGCGCCGGCACCGCGGCGCGGCCGCUGUACCCCGCCCUGCAGACGCUGAGCCCGGGCAGCUCCGGCCUCCCGAGCCACGGCCUGGCCGGAUUCCCCUUCCUCAGCCCGGCCCUGGCGGAUUUUGGGCCUGGGGAGGUCCCGGCGCCCCCCGGAUUCCUGCAGCCCCCCCAGGCCUGGCAGCACCCCCGGGACGUGGCAGUGCUGGGGGCCAGCAGCCGGAUGGUCCCCGCGGAGGAGCCAG